GAAUAUUGGGCAAUGGGCGCAAGCCUGACCCAGCCAUGCCGCGUGAGUGAUGAAGGCCUUCGGGUCGUAAAGCUCUGUGGGGAGGGACGAACAGCCAGGCGGUUAAUACCCGCAGGGUCUGACGGUACCUCCUUAGCAAGCACCGGCUAACUCCGUGCCAGCAGCCGCGGUAAUACGGGGGGUGCAAACGUUGCUCGGAAUUAUUGGGCGUAAAGCGCACGUAGGCGGUCUUGUAAGUCGGGUGUGAAAGCCCGGGGCUUAACCCCGGAAGUGCACUCGAAACUGCAAGGCUUGAGUAUGGAAGAGGGUCUCGGAAUUCCCGGUGUAGAGGUGAAAUUCGUAGAUAUCGGGAGGAACACCAGUGGCGAAGGCGGAGACCUGGGCCAAUACUGACGCUGAGGUGCGAAAGCGUGGGGAGCAAAC
rnacentral:rRNA from 1 species